UACGAAGGGGGCUAGCGUUGCUCGGAAUUACUGGGCGUAAAGGGCGCGUAGGCGGCUUGUUAAGUCGGUUGUGAAAGCCCGGGGCUCAACCCCGGAGAGUCGGCCGAUACUGGCAGGCUAGAGUACAGAAGAGGUAGCUGGAAUUCCUGGUGUAGCGGUGAAAUGCGUAGAUAUCAGGAGGAACACCUGUGGCGAAAGCGGCUCACUGGACCAUAACUGACGCUGAUGCACGAAAGCUAGGGGAGCAAACAGG
rnacentral:rRNA from 1 species